rnacentral:rRNA from 1 species
UGGGGAAUAUUGGACAAUGGGCGCAAGCCUGAUCCAGCAAUGCCGCGUGGGUGAAGACGGCCUGCGGGUUGUAAAGCCCUUUAGGCGGGGAGGAACGGCGUCGUGCGAACAGUGCGGCGUUCUGACGGUACCCGUGGAAUAAGCACCGGCUAACUCCGUGCCAGCAGCCGCGGUAAUACGGAGGGUGCGAGCGUUAAUCGGAAUUACUGGGCGUAAAGCGUGCGUAGGCGGUUUGGUCAGUCAGCCGUGAAAGCCCUGGGCUCAACCUGGGAACGGCGGUUGAGACGGCGAAACUGGAGUGGGCUAGAGGACCGUGGAAUUCCGGGUGUAGCGGUGAAAUGCGUAGAGAUCCGGAGGAACACCGAUGGCGAAGGCAGCGGUCUGGGGCCACACUGACGCU